GAUUGGAGAGGGGAGAGGAGACAGGGAUGGAGCAGAGCAAGGGAUGGGGCAAGCAACAAACUUCACUUCCUUUCACUGAUCACCACCUGAUUAUGACAAGAGCGAGAGAGUUGUGAGAGAUGAGAGGUUCCGACUGUUGUUGUUGCUCCCUCCCUGCACUGCCUCUUCCCUGGCUCCCCUCCCCUCCCAUCUAU
rfam:Triticum urartu cultivar G1812 contig603220, whole genome shotgun sequence.